rnacentral:rRNA from 1 species
CCUACGGGGGGCAGCAGUGAGGAAUAUUGGUCAAUGGGCGGAAGCCUGAACCAGCCAAGUAGCGUGCAGGAUGACGGCCCUACGGGUUGUAAACUGCUUUUAUACGGGAAUAAAGUGCCUUACGUGUAGGGUUUUGCAUGUACCGUAUGAAUAAGGAUCGGCUAAUUCCGUGCCAGCAGCCGCGGUAAUACGGAAGGUCCGGGCGUUAUCCGGAUUUAUUGGGUUUAAAGGGAGCGUAGGCCGCAUGUUAAGCGUGUUGUGAAAUUUCCGGGCUCAACCCUGGCCUUGCAGCGCGAACUGGCGGGCUUGAGUACAGUGAAGGCAGGCGGAAUUCGUGGUGUAGCGGUGAAAUGCUUAGAUAUGACGAAGAACCCCGAUUGCGAAGGCAGCUUGCUGCAGCGGAACUGACGCUGAUGCUCGAAAGCGCGGGUAUCGAACAGGAUUAGAUACCCCGGUAGUC